CAGUAAACAGAAAUGUAUAUCAGAUUAUAUUAAAACUAUUUUUUAUUAAAAAUAAUUUUUUUCUCUCUCUACAAUUCUCAGAGUAGGGCACAAUGAGGUCAUUGGAGUAUGCCGGACAGGAAUUGAUGCCGAAGGCCUUGGAAGAGAUCACUGGAAUGAAAUGUUGGCUUACCCACGUAAACCAAUAACUCACUGGCACCCAUUAGUAGAGCUACCUGGCCGAGCAACCAGUUUUGAUAGCCAGGGAUCCUGCUCCUCACCCAAACCACCACUUACACCCUAGGGAGCAAGAGUGGAUUCAUCACGGUCAGUGUCCAAAGCUCCCUCAUAGCUCACAUCUGCAUAAACAGAAGGUUUGGCUUCCGCAGAUGACCUGUAUCCAGAUUUUUUAAUCAAAAUACAUCUUUCCUAUUCUAAGUCUUAUAUGACAGUUUAUAAUUAUUUGUUAAUGUGUGAAUGAAGUUUAUUCAAGUCAAAUAUAACCCUUCCUUAUGCAAAUUAAUUCACCUGUUUUAUCUCUAGCAUAUAUCCAGUGUCAUAUUUAAGCAGUGUUUUGAUGGUGCCUGUGUCUUUUCAUAGACAAAGAAACAAGAAAAAAAAAUCCCUUAAGCAAUUCAAAACUACUGCAGCUUUUAACACCUAAUUCUUUUGAGGGAGAGUAAAUAGUCAUAUACAGCUCAUGUAGUAAAUUCCUUCUAAAUUGCACUAGAUCCUCUAUGACUGCAAGAUAGCACUUCAAGCUGAAUGUUGCAUUAAAAAAAAAAAGCAACCUGUUGUCAUGUUUUGAGUAUCUGGAAAAUCAGUUAAUUCCUUGGGCAGGGAGGAGGGGCUGAUUUAAAGCCCACUGGAGCCAAUGAGGUGGAUUUACUGACUUCAGUGGGUUUUAGUCUAGCCCUUAUGAAACAGGUAUGAGUUAUAACCUUCCAGCACCCUUGAUGACAGCUGCAUUUCUACAGAAGUCAAACUGCAGAGGAGAGAAUGCUCUAAAGGAAUGAACUAAAGGAAUUGAUUUAAUGUGAUUUAUCUCUUAAAAAACUUGACCAAAUAUUGCAGUUACCCACAGCAUUUUUGUGAUUCUUGAUUUAAUGUGACAGACUUAAAUAUCUUUGAAGUUAUUUUGACUAAGUGCACAACACACAUGGAAUUUAGUUUCUGGUUGCUGGCUGGAUGCCUCUAGACAUAUAAGCUAAAUAUGAAUUUGAGAUGUGUUUUCUGUCUAUGGAGACAAAAAUUGAAAUGUGACUAUUUUACAAGCAAGUAAACUCAUUUAUUAGAAUACACAGCGACAGCAAACGCAAAAGUCUAUUGGCUGUAGACAGAUACUUUAGGAACUAGAAGAAAACUGGAUAUUAUUUUGUGGAUUUAUAUCUAAACACUGCAGUUUACCUCAGUAAGAUAAAUCAGAUUGGUACUUUCUUUUUUCCUUUUUUCUUUCUUUCUGUGAAGAGUGUAGCACAGAUGGCAUGAUUGGGUCUGAGGUUUUGAAAACUGGACUGUAAUUAAAACAAAGUUGGGUGGUGGCACAUUGUGCCAUAUCUUUGCAAUAUAUAUAAAGAAAACUGAGGAAACAGUGUUUUUCAAAAC
ensembl:lncRNA